rnacentral:rRNA from 1 species
CACAAGCGGUGGAGCAUUGUGGUUUAAUUCGACGCAACGCGAAGAACCUUACCAGGGCUUGACAUCCUCUGACCGCAUAUGAAAGUAUGUUUUCUGGCUUCGGUCAGACAGAGAGACAGGUGGUGCAUGGUUGUCGUCAGCUCGUGUCGUGAGAUGUUGGGUUAAGUCCCGCAACGAGCGCAACCCCUACGUUUAGUUGCUAACGUGUAACGAUGAGCACUCUAGGCGGACUGCCGUUGACAAAACGGAGGAAGGUGGGAUGACGUCAAAUCAUCAUGCCCCUUAUGUUCUGGGCUACACACGUGCUACAAUGGCCGGUACAAAGGGACGCAAAGCCGCGAGGUGGAGCAAAUCCGAUAAAAGCCGGUCUCAGUUCGGAUUGCAGGCUGCAAUUCGCCUGCAUGAAGUCGGAAUCGCUAGUAAUCGCAGGUCAGCAUACUGCGGUGAAUACGUUCCCGGGCCUU